rnacentral:rRNA from 1 species
GGGGGGAUAUUGCACAAUGGGCGAAAGCCUGAUGCAGCGACGCCGCGUGGGGGAUGAAGGCUUUCGGGUUGUAAACCUCUUUCGCUAUCGAACAAGGCCCGCUUAGGGUGGGUUGAGGGUAGGUGGAGAAGAAGCGCCGGCUAACUACGUGCCAGCAGCCGCGGUAAUACGUAGGGCGCGAGCGUUGUCCGGAAUUAUUGGGCGUAAAGGGCUUGUAGGCGGCUUGUUGCGCCUGCUGUGAAAACGCGGGGCUUAACUUCGCGCGUGCAGUGGGUACGGGCAGGCUUGAGUGUGGUAGGGGUGACUGGAAUUCCAGGUGUAGCGGUGGAAUGCGCAGAUAUCUGGAGGAACACCGAUGGCGAAGGCAGGUCACUGGGCCAUUACUGACGCUGAGGAGCGAAAGCAUGGGUAGCGAACAGG